rfam:Niastella populi strain 208 contig31, whole genome shotgun sequence.
GCGCAUGUGGUGAAAUUGGUAGACACGUCAGACUUAGGAUCUGAUGCCGCGAGGUGUGGGGGUUCGAGUCCCUCCAUGCGCA